CCGCUGGAACCAGGCGCAGCAGCGCAACCACGCCGGUGUGCCGCCAUCGCCGGGCCGCCGCCUGCUCCCUCAUCCUCGCGGCAGAUCCGCCGCCGCCGUUCAACGCCACGGCCGCCUGGAGCUGCUGCUGUUCGCCUGAGGUCGACGGAUCUGGCCUUCAGUCGUUCGUCUUGCUCGGAGUUCCCGCCGCCGUUGGCUUGCCCGGAGUCGCCGCUGGCUGGCCCGCGAUCGACGGCCAGCAGCUCGCUGGAGGAGCCGAGCACCGUCUCACAAAGAUCGGAGACAACCGCGGCUCCGUCGCCGUCCGUCAACCGCCGGCGACGACGAGCCACCGAGGCUGCCCUCCCCCUGACCUCGACUCACACACGCAAUCAGCCAACACAAAGGGUUUUUUGUGCGAGAAUCAUAUACUGUAAUUGCUCAAAUAAAAGUUUUAACUCUUUCCUUGUAACUUCAGUUCACAAGUACAUAUUUAGUAACUGUAAAUCUAUGAAUUUGCUACUCAUUUUCUUCAUUUAUCAAAGCAUAUGUAAAUCUGAGUUAAUGAGCAUGUGUUGGUAUUCUGGAGUUGAUGUAUACAAUUGAAGGAUAUUAUAAUAUAUAAAUUAGAAAUAUAAA